rnacentral:lncRNA from 12 species
UUCCCCCAAUCCUAAAUUCCCAAAUCCCAGAAUGUCCCAAAUCCCCAGAAUUCCUCAAUCCCAAAUUCCCCAAUCCCAAAUUGCCCAAAUCCCCCAAUCCCAAAUCCCCCCAAUCCCGAAUUUCUGUCUGUUCCCAGUCAAGGCCGACAAGAAGGCGGCGCAGGAGAAGAUGCUGCAGCAGGAGCAUGAGAGACAGGAGCGCGAGGACGAGCUGCGCGCCAUGGCCCGGAAAAUCCGCAUGAAGGAGCGAGAGCGGCGGGAGAAGGAGCGGGAGGAGUGGGAGCGUCAGUACAGCAGGCAGAGCAGGAGUCCCUCCCCAAGGCAUGGUCGGGAGUACAGCUCCUCACGGAGGUACGGCCCCAGCCCCCGGCAUUUCCCGGGGAUCCCAGAUGUGACCCAGCCCCAAUUCCUGAUCCCAGGGAUCCCAAAUUUCCUCCACUCCUGACCCCAGGGACCCCAAAUUUCCUCCACUCCUGAUCCCAGGGAUCCCAGAUGUGACCCAGCCCCAAUUCCUGACCCCAGGGAUCCCAAAUUUCCUCCUUCCUGGCCCCAGGGACCCCAAAUUUCCUCCACUCCUGAUCCCAGGGAGGGGGGGGGGGGGGGGGGGGGGGGGGGGGGGGGGGGGGG